ensembl:ncRNA asRNA:CR44045 antisense RNA:CR44045
AGUUGAAUAGAACUUUGUUAAUAUCAUCAUAUCAUCAUCAUAAAAUGCACAUUACAAAAAUAUUAACAAAAUUUAUUGCAGGCAGUCCGUAGUUAGUAAAAGUUCCUAAAGAUCUCAGUCCCUGGCUGCGGGACUGAAACGCUUUUCGGACUCUGAACGUACGGCCGCCAAGGUGUGAACAUAAAGAGGAUCGUUCUCUCCUACCAAUAGCUCCGAAUAUUCUCGUUAUGGAUUUACAAACGUAGAACCAACCACCACCUUUGUUUGGGUGGCUGGUGAAUAGAUCAGUUUUUGUUGUACAG